rnacentral:rRNA from 1 species
UGGGGAAUAUUGCACAAUGGGCGCAAGCCUGAUGCAGCCAUGCCGCGUGUAUGAAGAAGGCCUUCGGGUUGUAAAGUACUUUCGGCGGGGAGGAAGGGAGUAAAGUUAAUACCUUUGCUCAUUGACGUUACCCGCAGAAGAAGCACCGGCUAACUCCGUGCCAGCAGCCGCGGUAAUACGGAGGGUGCAAGCGUUAAUCGGAAUUACUGGGCGUAAAGCGCACGCAGGCGGUUUGUUAAGUCAGAUGUGAAAUCCCCGGGCUCAACCUGGGAACUGCUUCUGAUACUGGCCAGCUUGAGUCUCGUAGAGGGGGGUAGAAUUCCAGGUGUAGCGGUGAAAUGCGUAGAGAUCUGGAGGAAUACCGGUGGCGAAGGCGGCCCCCUGGACGAAGACUGACGCUCAGGUGCGAACGCGUGGGGAGCAAACAGG